rnacentral:rRNA from 1 species
UACGGAGGGGGCUAGCGUUGUUCGGAAUUACUGGGCGUAAAGCGCACGUAGGCGGCUUUGCAAGUUAGAGGUGAAAGCCCGGAGCUCAACUCCGGAAUUGCCUUUAAAACUGCAUCGCUAGAAUUGUGGAGAGGUAAGUGGAAUUCCGAGUGUAGAGGUGAAAUUCGUAGAUAUUCGCAAGAACACCAGUGGCGAAGGCGGCUCACUGGCCCGAUACUGACGCUGAGGCACGAAAGCGUGGGGAGCAAACAGG